rnacentral:misc_RNA from 1 species
GAAAUGCGAUAAGUAAUGUGAAUUGCAGAAUUCAGUGAAUCAUCGAAUCUUUGAACGCACAUUGCGCCCGCCAGUAUUCUGGCGGGCAUGCCUGUCCGAGCGUCAUUUCAACCAUCAAGCUCUGCUUGCGUUGGGGAUCCGCGGCUGCCCGCGGUCCCUCAAAAACAGUGGCGGGCUCGCUAGUCACACCGAGCGUAGUAACUCUACAUCGCUAUGGUCGUGCGGCGGGUUCUUGCCGUAAAACCCCCCAACUUCUAAGGUUGACCUCGGAUCAGGUAGGAAUACCCGCUGAACUUAA